GGAAGACAUGGGAACACUGAGAAUCUAGGGACACUAGGAGACAUGGGGACACAGACACCAGGGACACUGGCUUGGAGACAUGGGGACAAUGAGACAUUUGGGGACAUUGUGUUCCUAGUGUCUGUGUCCCCAUGUCUCCCAGUGUCUCAGUGUUCCCAUGUGUGUCU